AUUGAACGCUAGCGGGAUGCUUUACACAUGCAAGUCGAACGAGCGGCGGACGGGUGAGUAAUGUAUGGGGACCGCCCGAUAGAGGGGGAUAACUACUGGAAACGGUAGCUAAUACCGCAUACUAUUGGAUAACCCAAAUGGGAGUAGCUAGUAGGUGAGGUAAUGGCUCACCUAGGCGACGAUCCCUAGCUGUUCUGAGAGGAUGAUCAGCCACACGGGGACUGAGACACGGCCCGAACUCCUCGGGAGGCAGCAGUGGGGAACAUUGCACAAUGGUCGCAAGCUUGAUGCAGCCAUGCCGCGUGUAUGAAUAAGGCCCUAGGGUUGUAAAGUACUUUCAGUCGGGAGGCGUUACCGACAGAGGAAGCACCAGCUAACUCCGUGCCAGCAGCCGCGGUAUUUC
rnacentral:rRNA from 1 species